rnacentral:rRNA from 1 species
CGUACGAACUCUGGUAUUGAUUGGUGCUUGCAUCAUGAUUUACAUUUGAGUGAGUGGCGAACUGGUGAGUAACACGUGGGAAACCUGCCCAGAAGCGGGGGAUAACACCUGGAAACAGAUGCUAAUACCGCAUAACAACUUGGACCGCAUGGUCCGAGUUUGAAAGAUGGCUUCGGCUAUCACUUUUGGAUGGUCCCGCGGCGUAUUAGCUAGAUGGUGAGGUAACGGCUCACCAUGGCAAUGAUACAUAGCCGACCUGAGAGGGUAAUCGGCCACAUUGGGACUGAGACACGGGCCAAACUAAUACGGGAGGCAGCAGUAUGGAAUCUUCCACAAUGGACGAAAGUCUGAUGGAGCAACGCCGCGUGAGUGAAGAAGGGUUUCGGCUCGUAAAACUCUGUUGUUAAAGAAGAACAUAUCUGAGAGUAACUGUUCAGGUAUUGACGGAAUUUAACCAGAAAGCCACAGCUAACUACGUGCCACCAGCCGCGGUAAUACGUAGGUGGCAAGCGUUGUCCGGAUUUAUUGGGCGUAAAGCGAGCGCAGGCGGUUUUUUAAGUCUGAUGUGAAAGCCUUCGGCUCAUCCGAAGAAGUGCAUCGGAAACUGGGAAACUUGAGUGCAGAAGAGGACAGUGGAACUCCAUGUGUAUCGAUGAAAUGCGUAUAUAUAUGUAAGAGCACCAGUGGCGAACGCGGCUGUCUGGUCUGUAACUGACGCUGAGGCUCGAAAGUAUGGGUAGCACACAGGAUUAUAUACCCUGGUAGUCCAUACCGUAGACGAUGAAUGCU